AUUCAGUGUCAUUUACAUAUUUGAAUGGACUAUUUAAACAAUUAUCUAUCAACUGUAUUUAAAUCAUACUCAUGAAAUUUGAAGGUUAUGAAAUAUGUCAACGCACCAGAGCACAGCGCAACUUACAGCUCUUAGAGCAAAACCAUUCAGCUGUGAGAGCUGAACAACUUGCAGCUAUCAGAGCUGACUAAUAUAUAGUUGCUGUAACUACAAGAUAGACCGUAGAGUGCGUAUAGUUACUGGAGCUGUAGAAUACAGCUCGCCGAACAGAAUUUUUUUUUCCGUGUAUGAUUUAAAAAAAU
rnacentral:lncRNA from 1 species